AUAUCAAGUUCUUUAUAUUGAGCUAUCGCUCUUUAUAUAGCUGAGAGAUGAAAACGACAAAUUCGUAACUGUUCUAUAGCCGGACUGUAUCUUACCAUUGCCCUGACUACGUGUUAUGAUUGGAUGAAGAUUGAAAGACAAUGAAAGCCAUUUCAAUGUUAUACGGCAUAUCGUACCGUAUUGCGAAGGCUUAGUUUCCGCUAAGUUGCAAACCUGUUCGGUUCUGUCUUCCCAUAAACCUGAAACAAGCAUGGCGGUUGUUUUAGUGGAUGUCAUCUUCUUUGUUGUCUUACUGGUCUUGGGGAUGAUGUGGCUGACCAUAAGUACAAGUGCUCAACGUACGUGCUAUUCAUUCCACCAUAUUACA
rnacentral:lncRNA from 1 species